rnacentral:piRNA from 1 species
UAGGCCCUGAUUCGUGGACUAUGGC